UACGUAGGGUGCGAGCGUUGUCCGGAAUUACUGGGCGUAAAGAGCUCGUAGGUGGUUUGUCGCGUCUGCUGUGAAAACUCGGGGCUUAACUCCGGGCCUGCAGUGGGUACGGGCAGACUAGAGUGCGGUAGGGGAGACUGGAAUUCCUGGUGUAGCGGUGAAAUGCGCAGAUAUCAGGAGGAACACCGGUGGCGAAGGCGGGUCCCUGGACAACACCUGACACUGAGGCACGAAAGCUAGGGGAGCAAACAGG
rnacentral:rRNA from 1 species